UAAAGUGUGGUGUGGUGCUGACAAAGGUAGGAUGGAUGGGUCACAGGUGCUUUUCUAGAUAGAACUCUCUCUCUUUCUCUAUCUUAUUUUCUCUCAUCAGUCAUCUAUUUCGUAUUGUCUCUCUUUCUACAACCCAUAAACCACCUAACCCUUUAUCUAUCACUUAUUUUCCAUUUCUUAUCUCUCAUAUUAUCUUUUUCUCUGUAACCCAUAAACCACCCCUACUCACUUCAAAACCGAAACCACCCUUCCUUCCACUCAAUCCAAAAUCGAGCCGACACAUCCCUACUCACUCUCUCUUAUUUCAUUUUGCCUUUCUCAUCUGCCUUCACUUAGUCUCAGACUCUCUCUCUUUCUUGGAUUCGAAGCUCAACAGCCACCCAUUGUCUAACAAUCUCACUCUGACGAACUGUUUCCACUCCGGCCACCACCACACCUCACGGCUUCAUCCCCACCUCCGGUUCUCUCCAGUGAUUCUCUUCGUGUUUGAGAUUUCGAAUUAAGGUUAGGGUUUCAAAUUGGGGCUUAGGGUUUCGAAUUAGGGAUCAGGUCAUGAAGAUGACGCAGGUGUCUCUCUUCACUUUAUCUCUCUCUACCAUAAAUCUUCACUGAUUCACUAUCAUUAUGUCUCUAAUUUCAAUUUGGAUUUUUAAUGCACGUUUGGAUGAUUUCAAUUUCAAUCUAGAUGAUUUGGAUUCUAAUGCAGGUUUGGUUUCGGGAAAUUCCAAAAUACCAAAAUUUCGGUUAGGGUCAAUCAUGAGAUUUUCUUCCCGAAAAUUUUCGGUUCGGGAUUUGCUAUGCCACUUUUGGUUCGAUAUCCCAUAUCGAACCAGCCCUAGUAACAACAGUAGUAGUAGGAGUAGUAGUAAUAGUAGUAGUAGUAAUAAUAAUAAUAAUAAUAAUAAUCUCUACUAAUUAAUAAAACACUCAUUGUCAACCAAAACCCUAUGAAAUUAACAGUUUAACCCUCUAAUUAAAACAGAACAUGAAUAAGAAAUAUAAGGCAGAAAUAUAAUUUCACACAAUCAAAUUUUGCUGUUUUUUUUUCAAAACCUCACCUACAUGUAAUCCUAACAUAUCUUUAAUUAUAAAAAAAAAAUUUUAAAAAAUAAAAAAACUUCCCACUCCCAUUCUCUAUCACUCUCUUCCUUUCUCUUUCUAUUUCAAAAACAAAAAUAAAAAAAUUGCUCACACACUUUGUGUGUGUUCAUAUGCUAAUAAUAAUAAUAAUGACAACAACAACAACAACUCUUCUUUCUCUCCUAUGCACUGUCUCUGCUCAACCCAAAUUUGUUGCUCCUCAUUACAACCUUCUGCCACUCUCCCUUACAACUAUCCACACGGACGCGCCUCAUUAGAACAAAAGCCAUCAUUCCAGGUUUGUUGAAAUUCAUCAACUAACGUUUGAUUAAUUGUGUGGUUUUUUUUUGUUAAUGGAUUGUAAUAUUUUGUCACAGCCCGUCCCGUGAUUCUUUUUAUCGAGGUUGUGAAAUGACGAAAUUAUCCUUGACGGGUGCUAAGGUAGGUGUGCGACAUAUUAUUGAACAAUGCAUUUUCCCUAAGUUUUGACAGGUGCUAAGGUAGCUGUGUGACAUAUUAUUGAACAAUGCAUUUUCCCUAAGUUUUGGAAAGUUUGAAUUUUGAUUAAAGGUUGUAUGUGUUUUGUGUGGUUAGGGAAAUAAGUUGGACUUGUUUUGGGAUGGACCGCACACGCACACGCGGGAUACCCUUACCCCGUGCUCUCUCUCUCUCCUCCUUCUCUGUCACUCUCACUCUCUCCCUCUCGAAACUGUACGGACCGACCCAAAAACCCUUGAAACUUCAUGGAUCGAAGUGGAGAUUAGCACCAUUGUGUUCGUGAGUGCCCUACGAACUCAAAGGUACCAUUUUCAGGUAAGAAACCCUUCGUUUUCAUGUUGAAAACUUAAGGUCCGAAUUGAGUACUAUUCAUGAACUUUGUAAUGGUUGGUUUUUAGGACAAUCCAAGCUCAUAGUGAGCUCUAGGAAGUUCCCACGAAGCUCGGGGACGUUCGUUUGAAAGUUUUGGACGUCGGGACACCCUAGUUCGAAGGUGGCCGGUUUUGGUGAAGUUUCCUGACGUGAUUUUCGAAGGUUUUGAGGCUCCAAAGAGGUAUAGCCUUCUUCCCCUCGUGAUUUAGGACAUUUUGGUGAAAAUUUCAUGGAAAAUGGUUGAGAAAUGACAGAGAACAAGGAGAUUGAAAAAUCUCCAGUUUCCGGCGACCGGAAAAAACAGUCCGGCGACUAGAGGAAGAAGAUGACGCGCGUGGGGUGAGUGGGUCCGUGCCCCUCCCGGCGGGUGGGGGCGCGUGCAGCCUUGAAUUUUUUUUCUAAAAAUAUGUCUGUGGAGCCAAAAAUAUUCACAAGGCGACACGUGGAUUUUUGGAUAAAAGAAGACAAAAAUAUCCUUGAGGCAUACCGGGAUUCCUACGCACGAGCAGCGGGCAAUCAUCCGUUAACCAAGUCAAAAAAUGCCCAAAGAAGGUAACAAAUAAAAGUUAUUUCAUCCAUAUACUCCACAAGGUAACCAUUCCAAACAUUCCAUUUAAAUUAGAUUAAUUGGUGAGUUAAUGGAUUUAUUUCCUAAUUAAUCCAUUAAAUCACCAAUUAAAUGACCCAUUAUGCCAAUUAAUCCCCCAUUACAUAACCCAUUACCCAAAAAAUCCCAAAUGGCCGGCCACCCUAGUUGAUCUCAUCAUAUUCACCUAUUUUAUCACAUUAGUUAGCUAGUUAAUUUAGCAAUAAUUAUUUGCUAAAUUAAUUAGUCAAUUAUUCCCAUAACUCCUAAAUUUAACCUAAAUCAAGAACCCUAUCCCUAUAAAUAGGCUCUCAUUCUCACCAAAAACCUAAUUCCAACACUUUGGCAAAAAUCCCAAAAUUCUCUAAACACUCUUUCUCUCUAAAUUCUAACUUUGGCAUCAGAGGUUCUUCGGCCAAAGCCCCGCCAUUCAUCGUGGGCGCGUGAGGCUCUUGGCUUUAACCUAAGGUGUUAAUUGUUUUGUAGGUGCAAAAUUGUCCAAGAAUAAGGAGGAAGAAAUUUGCAUCCACAAAUUGGUGCUUUCAUUGAGAGUUGAAAUCCAUACUCGUAGAAGACUCUCGCACAAAAAGGUUUUUUCUUUAUUUUCUAGUCCAUUUGAAUAUUUUUCAUACGUUCUUAUUAUUAGAAUUUUUUACUUGCAAAGGUUCUUUGAUAAAACGUAUAAGCAAAAUAUAAUGGCUAGAAAUUUAGAAAAUUCCACAAGUGAAAUUUCUAAUGUUCAAGAAAUGGGAUUGCGGAGAUCCGUGAGGCUAAAUGCGACAAUAAGUGGAGCAGCACCACCACCACGAGUUUCCACCAUGGGAACCACCACGGUGGCUACCUCGGUAGCCACCUAUGGCGAGGUCCAUGGUGCCUUCACCACGGCUCGAGCCGUGCCAUCCAAGGCUCACGACACCAAGGCCACGGCCCAAGUCGUGCCAUCCAAGUUUGCACGGGCCCAGGCCCAAGCCUCGCAUUCGCUUGCAUCACAUUCUAAGCAGCCUGCUCCCGCCAGGUUGCCUGCUUCCGCCAAGCAACCUGCUUUCCCAGCCCAGCCUGCUCCUGCCAAGCAGCUUGCUCUCGUGACCCAGCCUGCUCCCGACGAGCAGCCCACUCCCGUGGCCCAGCCUGCUCCCGCCAAGCAACCUGCUCUCGCGGCCUAGCCUGCUCCUGCCAAGCAGCCUGCUCUCGUGACCCCUGCCUAGCCUGGAGCAGCAGUUUUACCCCAUUGCAUUGUCAAGUGGACUCUCUUCCAAUAGCCAUGUCAUCUCCUCCCGUCCAAAAACCUAAAUGCCAAUACGUGGCAAGGGACUUGCUAAAUAGCUUCAGCUGCAAUUCACAAGUCCUUGCACACUUUCCAAGGCAAAGCCAACCACUAAAUCCGUGCCCACUCCUUCAUAAAACACUCUCAAAUAUCCAAACUAAUGUGGCAUUUUCUAUCAGGCACAAGUGGGUUUUGACAGGCAAAGCAAUUAAGCAUCCGGCCAGCAUGGCAGUGAAAAAACAUUCCGACUAGCGCGACGGCAGACAAUCAUAGGAAACCUCUCUGCUUUUUUGGAAAGCUCAAAGAAAUUUAAUUGCGGUGAAGCUGAUGUGUUUUCCAAGUCGAUAAUUUAGGAAAUAAGGGAUCAUUGCAUUCAAUUCAAGCACCCCAAGAGAGAGAACCGAACUCAACGUCCACUCGGGAAACCUCGACCUCUUCGAAGGGGAGCUAUCCCUUCACCUCUAGUCCCCCUUUGAAGGAUUUUUCAUUUCCCACUCACAGAAAUCUUAAGGAGUCAAAAUCCAACCCUUUGAUAAUUCACCCAAUCGAAGUGCAAAAUUUGAGAUUAGUCAAUUUGAACCUACAACAAGUGGACGAGUUCAAGCAACUUAAAAUCGGAAACCCGGUGUCUUUCCAACUUUUGAGGGCAUCCGGGAUUUGUAGAUUUCAAGGGCCUUUUGAUAGUUGAUCAGUGGUUAGGAAACCAGGGCGCAAGGCUUCAUUGACCAGCCCUAGGAAGCCACGAUCAUGCCGAGGAACGCGCUGGAGAGCAUGUCUAGAGGGUCAGGCUCUAGCGGCCCAUUAAGCGUUCCAUCACUCUGUUAUAAUGACGACUGAGCUACCUCACAGAAAGCUUUGGAUUCAUUCAGCAAAGCAAGCAACCCACAAUGAGCAAGUAUUCCGCUGAAUCCACCCGACUUGUAGGCGCCAUGGAGACAAUGAAGCCUGUCCGCCAAUCCUUAGUUCCACAACCCACGCAGACCUGACAGUCCUGCAGAAGUUCAACCUGCCCACCAAGCAGCUGUCUCUGCACAUUGCCAAAUGUUCAAAGCAACCUAACUUGGCUGAGCAGCCACGACAUGGCUUGUUCAGCGGUGGCGUCAAGAAUUCACAGCUAUCAAGUGGCCCUAAAGGUCCAGUUAAAGCAUCUUCCCUGCCUGAAGGACAAAUAACCAACAAAAAGGAGCACUUUUAAGAGAUUUCCCAAAACUUAUCUUGAACGUUUCCUCCAAACAAUUGAAAAACAUGUCCAAACACCUUAUUGCAAUGAACAAUUCCGCAACAGGGACAAUGCAUCUCAAUGAAACAAGAUCCAAACGACGACACUGAUUCGAAGGAUAACUGCAGGCGACAAAUUCCUUAAUCCAAUUCGAGACCUUUCGAUUGCCUAGGACUCACCAAAAGGGCGUUCAGCCCUUGUUCAGCAUCGCAGCACAUUUUCACAUCUUUCAAGGGGAAAAAACCCGGAGAGCACCCCGCUCCGAACCGCAAUGAUCCUUUAUCGAAACAACGAUGAUCUCAUGUGCAAGAUAUUCGCCAGCACUCUACAAGGCGAGGCACAAGAUUGGUUCUACACCCUGCCGCCACAAUCCAUCUGGAAUUUCUACGAACUUUCUUUGGUUUUCACCAAAGAAUAUUCAUCUUAUCGUUCGAUCAAAAAGAAGUCUGACCAUUUGUUCAACGUCAAGAAGAACCCAAAGGAGUCGCUUCGCGACUAUGUAAGGAGGUUCAAAGUAGAGAAGGCAAAAAUAGUCGGAUGCAACGACUCGAUAGCUAGAGCAGCCUUCCAAAAAGGACUUCCAGCAGACCACCCGCUAUUCGGAAAAUUGAUCAUGAAAGAAGAUCUAACUCUGGCAGACUCUUUUACUUUGGCAGAGAAGCAUGCAUUUUGGGAUGAGGCUCGCCAAUGCACAUUCAAGGACUUGAAGAAGUACCCAACAUCACCUCCCUAGAAGCAGUGGAUAACUUAUUCGCACGUUUGACGGUAUCUAAAGUAACAAUAAGCUCUACCAUCAUGCGAGAAGAGCUGGGGGCCCGACCACCUGUAUUCUACAGUUCAAAAGCUCUCCUCGAUGCUAUUAAAAAUUCAAAAGUUAACUUUGGCGAUAAUUGUUGUAACCCAAAAGCUUAAGUUUUACCUUCAAACGCAAGCAGUCAUCAUCAUGAUGCAGUAUUCCGCUGAAUCCAAACCGGCGACGAUAAAGGCAUAGACCCCGGCGGAUGUAAAGUUUUCUGACGAACGCAACACUGGAAGGACACACUCAGAAGCAAGUUUUUUCCUCGUCACCCUAAAAGAUUCUGCAUAGGAGCAACAUGUACCGGCUAUUGAGUACCACUUCUUGCUGCGCACCACACGGCCCUAGCCGACUCUUGCUCAAUGAUUCAACUCUAGAGUGGCCCAAUACCAGUAGUUGAGCAUCUCCUGCUGCGUAUGACAUGGCCCCAUCUCCACAGCUCCCUACUGCGCCUUUACGCCGAGCCUAGGUGACGCAACAGAGCGGCCCAACGAUGCCUCAGAAGUAGCCGGACACAUUUUAGCCGCGCCUACUCCACCCGAUGGAGACUUCUGGCAUUUGCAUGUCGACGGCACAGAAAAGCCAUCAUCACUGCCUGCAGAGAAGGAUCCAAAAAGACGAAUCUCAUCUGGGAAGGUCUGUACAAGAUCAGCAGAGUAGGCGGCAAGAGUAAUUACACCAUCGCCACCAUGAAACGGUAAAAAGAUCGAAAAACAGUGGAUGGCCUACAAUCUGAAGAAGUACCAUGUGUGACCUCCCGCUACAUCAAAACUUAAGAAGCUCGACGGGCACCACCUCACAAGCUGAGGACUAUCCAGUUGUUAUGCAAUUCCUACCUUACAGCUAAAGUUCUCGUUCGUUUCACUCGUUUUUCAAUGAGGAAUUUAGAAGUAAUCACAACUUGGCUUGGCUGCAUGCUUACAACAACUAAUCACUCAUGCACUUCAAAAGAAGACUGCGCCCUUCUUAGGGACUCAUCACAGGAAUUGCGCCCCCCGAGGGACUAACCAUGCUCUCCAGUGCGAGAGGGUAAACCAAUUCCCCGACACCCAUAUGGGUUAGCUCUCCAAGAUGGAAGGAUAAACUUUACACUCCGAAUAUCCAGACGUGGAUGAGCCUGACUGCCCUAGUAUAACUAGAUGCACGAUGGCUUACGCCGGGAUUCCUAGAAGUAGCCACAAUGGUCUUUUUCAAGGCUUAGCUAACUGAAGGAUUUUGGGUCUCUUGGCCUAAUCUGUGGGAAACCGGGCCCUAGAUAUGGAGGGGGCACAUUAUGCAGUACGCCUUAUAAACGGCUGCCCUGGAACCCUAAAGCUGCUACGAGUGCACUAAGGUAGCCUACGGAUUCCGGAAGACUGCCUACAGCUUGCCUUUCGAGCAGUAAAGCCGCACUAGACUUAUACAGCCGCACAUUCUUGUGAAAGGUUAAACAAGCUAGCACGCAUAUACGAAGUUUUAUCCACUGCCGACAUGCUACGUAGUCGAUAAGCUUCACUUCUGCCAAGCGCGGAACAACCUACACCAAGUCCUAAAGUGUUGUGGUACUUGCUACACAAUCUAUGGAAUUGGAGAAAGUCAAGUUAACAGCCUAGUGGUUACGCGGACUUAUCUGCUUCUGUAAGUAAGGCAUCCGGCUGCCAACCCUAUGGCUAACAACUUUGCAAAGUUCUACACCAACACCUACGGCUGCAUAGGCUACGCGGGCUUGUCUGCUUAUAAAAAAGUAGCAUGCCUGCUACUGGUCUAUCAAGAAUAAAGGUUAGGGCAUGAACAAAAGAAGCGAAGAUGAAGAAAAGUGAAGGAAAACAUGUUUAUAAACAAUUAGCAAAGGCCGAAGGAGUUCAAGCAAAACAAGAGCUACAAGGAAAAACAAAUAAAAUCCUAAAGGCUACCUAGAAGACUAUAGCAGCUUGGACAUCCCACAACUACUCGGUCGCCACACCUUCAGUAGCCGCGAUACUCUUAGCAGCGGUAUCAUCCGGCGUUUCACCCCUGGUUGCCCCAGCUUGGGUACUAACUUCUCCAACUACUUCACCAAUGGAAGCCUCAAAAGUAAAAUCAAGCAAGUCUUCCGGAGAAAUAGAGAAGGUCUCGAAACCCGAGCCCAGCCUUUUCACCUUUCAACUGCUCAUCCUCAUCGAGCAGACCAACAUGGAUGCUCUACAGCUCAUCCACUUUCUUCUUCAGACUUUCGUUGAUCUUCAGUACACCUUGAAGUUCCAACACUUGGGGUUCAAGCCUAUCGAUGAUUCUCUUGAAGUAGAUCACUUGGUUAUAAGCAGCAAUCAACUCUUCAUCCUUUGCAGCAGAACGAAGCUAAAAAAUGACAUGCUUAAGAUCUUGAAUCUAAGGUAUGUGACAUCCGAUCUCCUUCUCUGCACUUUCAUGCUUAACUUGGAUCGCGUCAAACCUAGUCUUCAAGUCAACGAUCUCUUGGCGAGCGGUCUCAAGCUGCAAAAAAGUGGGGGCAGAAAUAUUAGACCCUUUUAAAGCAACAAGCUCAGAAUCUGCCAUAGUAUUUGCCAUCUCCUUAGCAGCCUUGCUAUAUCUGCAUCAUAGCAAGCAGAGCAGUUCCUCUAUAUUGGGUCGUAUGCUUUGCAAAUGAGCUUGGGCAAAUAACCUUUCUGACGCCAUCAACAAACUUGGCACAAACGUCCAUGUUUUCAAGAGAUCUGGUUUCAAAAGCACAUAGAUCUCAGCAGCUUCCCCAGAAGCAGGCUUAGUGGAUUUCUCACAUCUGCCUACGCGAGCAGUCUCCUCAUUCCCAGCAGACGAAUUAGUCUCAGCAGCAUAAGGAAUGGGCCUUGGCACCACUUUAGCAGCAGAGUCCACCUUAUAAUAGCAAGCCUCUCUAAAGGUGAAUCAGACUUAGCUCCCAACAGACGUCUUGGUACAAAAUUCGGCACUAGGGGCAUGAUAGGACCUUUAUGCCGAACAAUCCUAUCAGCAAUCAUACUAGCCAUUCUUGACAUGACAGGCGCCACAUGCUCAGAUCUAGCAGCCUCAUUUUUUGUCCCCUUGGAAAAAGUUAAGUCAAUCACAAACCUGAAGGCAGUCGGCGAACCUGCGCGAGCAGCGAAAUAAGUCUUUGGUUUUUUCUCAGCCGGCAUCUCUUGAGCAGGCAGGGAAGAUCCAUUUUCCCACCUUCACUUGCAACAGGAUCCACAACAGUGAUUGGACGAGCCAAUGCAUCCGCCUUGAUCCUAUUCACCUCAUCUUUUGGGAGCAACCCACGUUUCUCCUGAUGAAGAGAGUUAAAGUAGCCAACAUCAUUCGUGGUACCUAGCAGGGGAGUUUCAACCCAACAUUCCACAAGCUCAUGAGGCCCGCAACCUCUUCAUUUCUCUCAAUUACCGGCCUAGCUCGCGUCGUGUCUAAAAGCCUAAAAGGACAUGAGCCAUGUGACUCGCCUAGUACUGCGCCCCAUCGUCACAAUCCGCGGCCCCAGCCUCACAAGCUGCUCUUGAUUCUAGCCAAGUCGAGCAGCUUAAAGCAGUGGUCCCUGCCACAAUACCUCAUCGGCCCACGCCGAGCCGACUCCUGGCCCAUGCUAGCCGACGUGCCACACCACCCCGACGGUUGCCCCGUGGUAACACCAUCCAAGAAGAAGACAAGGAAAAUUAAUUUUUUCUUACCUCAUUGCGGCACGAAGAAGACAAAGAGAGCAAUGAAAGACGGUCCUUUGCACGGGCAAGAUGUAGAAGAUUGCUAGAGGAGGGGGAACAAAUAUCCUCUAAGCUAUCUCUCUCUUGUAGGGUAGAAUAAAUCGCUCUCCAAAGUUGAUUUAAUAACCCAUUAAGGUGGACUUAAAUAGGCUUUGAGAGAAAUUUAUUUCCCUUUUCUAGAAGGACCUAAUUUCCUAUUAAAGAGAGAAUCUACAUCAAAAUAGGAAGCAGUCCUACGUUUCCUAAAGCAAGAUGAUCUCUACACCUGCUGCCCUUUUCUGCGAGCAGCCCAACAGGUGUGGGGGCAUUUGUGGAGCCAAAAAUAUUCACAAGGCGACACGUGGAUUUUUGGAUAAAAGAAGACAAAAAUAUCCUUGAGGCAUACCGGGAUUCCUACGCACGAGCAGCGGGCAAUCAUCCGUUAACCAAGUCAAAAAUGCCUAAAGAAGGUAACAAAUAAAAGUUAUUUCAUCCAUAUACUCCACAAGGUAACCAUUCCAAACAUUCCAUUUAAAUUAGAUUAAUUGGUGAGUUAAUGGAUUUAUUUCCUAAUUAAUCCAUUAAAUCACCAAUUAAAUGACCCAUUAUGCCAAUUAAUCCCCCAUUACAUAACCCAUUACCCAAAAAAUCCCAAAUGGCCGGCCACCCUAGUUGAUCUCAUCAUAUUCACCUAUUUUAUCACAUUAGUUAGCUAGUUAAUUUAGCAAUAAUUUUAUUUGCUAAAUUAAUUAGUCAAUUAUUCCCAUAACUCCUAAAUUUAACCUAAAUCAAGAACCCUAUCCCUAUAAAUAGGCUCUCAUUCUCACCAAAAACCUAAUUCCAACACUUUGGCAAAAAUCCCAAAAUUCAACACUCUUUCUCUCUAAAUUCUAACUUUGGCAUCGGAGGUUCUUCGGCCAAAGCCCCCCCCAUUCAUCGUGGGCGCGUGAGGCUCUUGGCCUUAACCUAAGGUGUUAAUUGUUUUGUAGGUGCAAAAUUGUCCAAGAACAAGGAGGAAGAAAUUUGCAUCCACAAUGCCAACGUCCGUGACGUCGAGUAGGUCACUGUGGUAUAUUCAUAUACCCAAAUUGAGCACCGUAUGAGAAGUUAUUACGAAUUGUCGGUUAUGUGCUUUAAUUAAUGUUUUUAUAGUUGUUUCGCAUAUAGGUGAUACCUAUCCCGAGGACAAGCGCAUCCAGGGACGUCACGGGGGUUACGACCCUUCGACUUACCAGUGAGUGGGUAGUAUUUUUUGUAUUUACCUAUAUACUAUCGAUUUUCCCAGAAAUUGAAUUUAAAUGAAAGUAUGUUUUAAAAUGCCAUGCAUACAUAUACAUGAAAUAUAUGAAUUGAUAAUUGAUGCAUAUAUAUAUGUGAAUUGGUGCUGUGGACGCAUAGGUGAGUAUCAGGUGAGUUUUAUGUUAUUCAUGUGAAUCAUUGAUGAUGUGAAUUGUGUUGAGAGCUCAUAACCUGCACCCCUGGUGUUAGUGCUUAUAUUAUUCACCCGCACCGCACGCUCACCUUGGAUCCAAGUAGGUACAUGUCGUACAGACCAUGAGAAGGUUCCGACAUGCUAGUCGUACAGAUCACUAGAGGUGGUUCCGACUGGUAGGCGACCUUAGAUUAUGUGCACAUGUGAUUGAUAAGAGAAGCACUAGAGCGUAUUAUUACAUCAUUCUUGUCGUAUAGACUACUUCAGGUAGUUCCGACUUAUGUGCAGAGUAGUGCCGUACAGGUCACUGUGGUGACUCCGGUUGGUUUGGAUAUUGAGCUAUGGAAUUAACCGUACAGGACCAACUGUAGGGUCUCCGGUUGAUUCAUUAUGUCAUCUGUUAUAUUGAUGCAUUCUUAAUCUGUUAUUGACAUUUAUGGCAUGGCAUAUUUUCUGGGUUUUGAUAAAGAAUUGUGAUUUGAGAUAUACGAAGAUUAUAUGCAUAUUAUGUUAUUUUCUGGGAAAAUAUACAGGUUUUAUAGCAAGGGGUUAGAAAUAUUUUAAAUGAAAUGUUUUUGAAAAACUUUGGUUUUACUGACCCACUCAAUUUUGUUUUGCGCCCCUCCAGGUUCUAGUUAGCAGCGUUGGUGGCCCGCGAGGAUUCCCACGGCGUACUGACAGACUACAUAAAUGUAGGACUCACCUGCGGGUGUUGUAAUUUAGUUAUGGUCCUACUUGACUGCACCUAGUACUUAUGCUUUGAAUUUGUGUGUUUCACACUUAAACUUACUCUAGCACGUUACUUGGUUAUUAUUGCUAGUAUUUGGUUUUUGUUUAUUCGUAUUUCUCUUAUCUAUUGCUUCCGCCUCGCACUUUUGGUUACGUCACGCCCACGUGACGGCCAGCACGCCUUGAUUCUAGGAUCGGGGUGUGUCAUAU
rnacentral:lncRNA from 1 species